rnacentral:lncRNA from 1 species
GGUUUCUGGGAUUGGAGCUGCAGAGCCAGGAGCCCCAGUGCCCUUUCCUCCUCCCACCGCGCACCAAAACAUGGGGUCCAAGAUCUUCUGUUGUUGCCGCAAGACCAGCGAGGGGUCUUCCACCACUGUUGGCUUCCACAAUCCAAGAAUGUUCGAACAGCAUCAUCCACGGUCCUUCAGUAGGUUCCAGACGUGGGUGUGUGAUAGUGUCAGGAACACCUGAAUGAUUCUCUGCGCCUCGGCCUCCCCGGCCACCUCCUGCUGGGACAUAGUCAGACUUCUUUCAGCCUUCUGGGAGUGUGGAAAGGGCGUAGUUACUCAAGCCUGGAACAACACAGUCUAAAGACUCUAUCAGUUAUUAGAGAUUAGUUAUUAGGUGGUAGAUAUUCGUUGAAAUCACUGGCUUUAGUCCUCCAUGGCCAUUUGUUGAUUUAUUUAAUUUCUCACUGAGUUUGUGGUACUUUAUUAGAUGGUAGUUUAAACUCUGCCUCUGCUGCUUACUGAGUUUGGGCAUGUCGCCGACCCUCCCUCUCUAAGCCUCAGCAUCCUUCUCUCCAAAAUGAGGAUAACGAUAAUAUAUUGCCCACUGUGCAGGCUGUUAGGAGGAUGAAGGCAGGCACCGUGUGUAAGUGAAUGCAUAUGGCCCCACACAAAGAAGACAUUCAACAAGGCCGGGCACGGUGGCUCACGCCUGUAAUCCCAGCACUUUGGGAGACUGAGGCGGGCAGAUCACGAGGUCAGGAGAUCGAGACCAUCCUGGCUAACACGGUGAAACCCCGUCUCUACUAAAAAUACAAAAAAUUAGCGGGGCAUGGUGGUGGGCGCCUGUAGUCCCAGCUACUCAGGAGGCUGAGGCAGGAGAAUGGAGUGAACCGAGGAGGCGGAGCUUGCAGUGAGCCGAGAUCGCGCCACUGCACUCCAGCCUGAGCGACAGAGCGAGACUCCACCUCAAAACAAAAAAAAAGACAUUCAACAAAUGAUAUCUGUGGAUGUGUAUAAGGAUCAGCUGGGCCACGCUGAGUGCUGUACCAAAAAGACAUCCACGCCUCCCCUAUGACAACCGCAUGAUGCUCAAGGCGUGCAUCCUUAGGAGGCCAUGAGCAUUCUAGCCGGCGGCACCCACGUGGUCCCUGCGGCUGCACAGCUGCUGGGCUUCCAUGAGGAAGAGGGCAGUGGACAAGAGUCAUGAAGACUGAUUCAGAAACUCCCCUGCAGGAGGAGAAGACGUCUGAGCCAUCCCUGUGCCACCACCAAGAGUCACUCCAGCUUCUGAAAAAGCCACCGUGGGGGGGAGCCGCCUCCAAUUAAAGUCCUUGGUCACAUCAGAGGAAGUGUCUCUCCUCCUUCCCCCUUUGCCAGCCCUACCUCUGAGAUUCCCAAAAACAUGGAGCAAUUAGACC